CUACGGGUCGCACCAGUGGGGAAUAUUGCACAAUGGGCGCAAGCCUGAUGCAGCCAUGCCGCGUGUAUGAAGAAGGCCUUCGGGUUGUAAAGUACUUUCAGCGGGGAGGAAGGGAGUAAAGUUAAUACCUUUGCUCAUUGACGUUACCCGCAGAAGAAGCACCGGCUAACUCCGUGCCAGCAGCCGCGGUAAUACGGAGGGUGCAAGCGUUAAUCGGAAUUACUGGGCGUAAAGCGCACGCAGGCGGUUUGUUAAGUCAGAUGUGAAAUUCCCGGGCUCAACCUGGGAACUGCAUCUGAUACUGGCAAGCUUGAGUCUCGUAGAGGGGGGUAGAAUUCCAGGUGUAGCGGUGAAAUGCGUAGAGAUCUGGAGGGAUACCGGUGGCGAAGGCGGCCCCCUGGACGAAGACUGACGCUCAGGUGCGAAAGCGUGGGGAGCAAACAGGAUUAGAUACCCUUGUAGUC
rnacentral:rRNA from 1 species